UACCAGCACCCCGAGUGGUCGGGACGAUUAUUGGGCCUAAAGCAUCCGUAGCCGGCCCUUACAAGUCCUCCGUUAAAUCCAGCUGCUUAACAGAUGGGCUGCGGAGGAUACUAUAAGACUAGGAGGCAGGAGAGGCAAGCGGUACUCAGUGGGUAGGGGUAAAAUCCGUUGAUCCAUUGAAGACCACCAGUGGCGAAGGCGGCUUGCCAGAAUGCGCUCGACGGUGAGGGAUGAAAGCUGGGGGGAGCAAACCGG
rnacentral:rRNA from 1 species